rnacentral:rRNA from 1 species
UCUAAGAAGAUCUGGAAGAUGAAGAUACCUCUUAAGAAUAAAAUCUUUGCAUGGUAUCUUCAUCGCGGAGUCAUUCUUACUAAAGAUAACCUUAUUAAGAGGAAUUCACAUGGAAGUACACAAUGUGUCUUUUGUCCGCAGAAUGAGACAAUAAAACAUUUAUUCUUCCAAUGUAAGCUCGUUCUAUAUGAGUAG